rnacentral:rRNA from 1 species
AUUUCUUAGAAGUGUAAUGAGGAUAAUUUACAAACCUUACCGAAUGCAAUUGGAGGGCAAGUCUGGUGCCAGCAGCCGCGGUAAUUCCAGCUCCAAUAGCGUAUAUUAAAGUUGUUGCAGUUAAAAAGCUCGUAGUUGAAGUUCUGAUUGCUCAGGUUUCCAGCCUUAGGCGGAGAUACUGACAGUCAUCCGCUUGCAAACAUAUGUUCGAUCUUCACCGGUUGGCUUAUGUGAGUAAGCACUUUACCUUGAGAAAAACAGAGUGUUCCAGGCAGGUUUGUCCGGGAUGCAUUAGCAUGGAAUAAUAGAACAUGACUGAAGUCGAUUUAUUGGUUUAAGGCUUUAGUAAUGAUUAAUAGGAACAGUCGGGGGCAUUCGUACUCAGCAGUCAGAGGUGAAAUUCUAAGAUUUGCUGAAGACGUAACUAAUGACGAAAGC